GAUGAACGCUAGCUACAGGCUUAACACAUGCAAGUCGAGGGGCAGCAUGAACUUAGCUUGCUAAGUUUGAUGGCGACCGGCGCACGGGUGAGUAACACGUAUCCAACCUGCCGAUGACUCGGGGAUAGCCUUUCGAAAGAAAGAUUAAUACCCGAUGGCAUAGUUCUUCCGCAUGGUAGAACUAUUAAAGAAUUUCGGUCAUCGAUGGGGAUGCGUUCCAUUAGGUUGUUGGCGGGGUAACGGCCCACCAAGGCGAUUAUGGGUAGCCGGGUUGAGAGACCGACCGGCCAGAUUGGGACUGAGACACGGCCCAG
rnacentral:rRNA from 1 species